CCCAGGAACGUGAACCGAGCGCUCCCCUCCGACUCCCUCACUCCCCUCCCGUCGCCUCCCUCGAUCCCUCCAAACGCCGCCCGACCUGCGCCCUCCGCCGGCGCCUGCUCCGGCCUCCGCGCGACCCCGCCGUCGGGAGGGGCCUCCUGGCCCUCGCCUUCCUCUCCGGCGACGCCUCCCCCGGCCAUCGUUGCCCCCUUCCUGCAGGCCGGAACUGGAGCUGGUCCCUGGAGGCUAGAGGUUGGCGCCCCCUGCUCCCUGGAGGAUGGCGCCCCCUAGCCCCUACUCCCUGUCCCUGAUGUUAGCUUAGUUAGCUCAGCAAGUAUAUUACAUUAUAUGUAUUCUAAUUUCUAUUCUAUAUGGUACAUGAUUCAGUAAGUAUAUCACAUUAUUGAUGCACUUUCAUACUUUGUCUGUACUAUGUAGAAUAAUUGAACUAUGAAGAGGAAUGAGUAUUGUUUCUCUUUUUAGGAUUUAACUGUCGAAUUUAAAAUUUUGAAUGUAAUUUAUGUUCUUGAUAACUGAAUUUCUUGGUGAAAUUUAAAUUUUAUUACCGAAUUGUAUAUGGAUUAUACCGAAUUG